UUCUUGGAGAGUUUGAUCCUGGCUCAGGACGAACGCUGGCGGCGUGCCUAAUACAUGCAAGUCGAGCGAAUCAAUAGGAGCUUGCUCCUGUUGAUUAGCGGCGGACGGGUGAGUAACACGUGGGCAACCUGCCUGUAAGACU
rnacentral:rRNA from 1 species